rnacentral:rRNA from 1 species
GAUGAACGCUGGCGGCGUGCCUAAUACAUGCAAGUCGAGCGAACAGACGAGGAGCUUGCUCCUCUGACGUUAGCGGCGGACGGGUGAGUAACACGUGGAUAACCUACCUAUAAGACUGGGAUAACUUCGGGAAACCGGAGCUAAUACCGGAUAAUAUAUUGAACCGCAUGGUUCAAUAGUGAAAGACGGUUUUGCUGUCACUUAUAGAUGGAUCCGCGCCGCAUUAGCUAGUUGGUAAGGUAACGGCUUACCAAGGCGACGAUGCGUAGCCGACCUGAGAGGGUGAUCGGCCACACUGGAACUGAGACACGGUCCAGACUCCUAAGGGAGGCAGCAGUAGGGAAUCUUCCGCAAUGGGCGAAAGCCUGACGGAGCAACGCCGCGUGAGUGAUGAAGGUAUUCGGAUCGUAAAACUCUGUUAUUAGGGAAGAACAAAUGUGUAAGUAACUAUGCACGUCUUGACGGUACCUAAUCAGAAAGCCACGGCUAACUACGUG